rnacentral:misc_RNA from 1 species
AACAUCGCGCACCUGCGGGAACCUGCGGACGGAUCAUUACAGAGUUGCAAAACUCCCUAAACCAUUGUGAACGUUACCUAAACCGUUGCUUCGGCGGGCGGCCCGGGUCCUUCCCGGCGCCCAUCGGCCCUCGCGGGCGCCCGCCGGAGGUAAACCAAACUAUUGCAUUGUAUGGCCUCUCUGAGUCUUCUGUACUGAAUAAGUCAAAACUUUUAACAAUGGAUCUCAGAUCGGAAGAGC